rnacentral:rRNA from 1 species
AUUGAACGCUGGCGGCAGGCCUAACACAUGCAAGUCGAGCGGAGCGGCUGACGGGUGAGUAAUUACUAGGUAUCUGCCUGGUAGUGGGGGAUAACGUCCGGAUACGGGCGCUAAUUCCGCCUACUAUCCGAUGGGUCUAGCUCGGAUGAGCUAGUUGGUGGGGUAAAGGCCUACCAAGGCGACGAUCCGUAACUGGUCUGAGAGGAUGAUCAGUCACACUGGAACUGAGACACGGUCCAGACUACUACGGGAGGCAGCAGUGGGGAAUAUUGGACAAUGGGCGAAAGCCUGAUGCAGCCAUGCCGCGUGUAUGAAGAAGGUCUUCGGAUUGUAAAGCACUUUAAGUUGGGAGGCGUUACCAACAGAAGAAGCACCGGCUAACUUCGUGCCAGCAGCCGCGGUAAUAC